rnacentral:tRNA from 1 species
AUCCCUGUAGCGCAAUGAAUAGCGUGCUGGAUUUCUAAUUCAAAGGUCGUGGGUUCGAAUCCCACCUGGGUUG